ACGUACACUCCUGCGGGAGGCAGCAGUGGGGAAUAUUGGACAAUGGGCGCAAGCCUGAUCCAGCCAUGCCGCGUGAGUGAUGAAGGCCCUAGGGUUGUAAAGCUCUUUCACCGGUGAAGAUAAUGACGGUAACCGGAGAAGAAGCCCCGGCUAACUUCGUGCCAGCAGCCGCGGUAAUACGAAGGGGGCUAGCGUUGUUCGGAUUUACUGGGCGUAAAGCGCACGUAGGCGGACUAUUAAGUCAGGGGUGAAAUCCCGGGGCUCAACCCCGGAACUGCCUUUGAUACUGGUAGUCUUGAGUUCGAGAGAGGUGAGUGGAAUUCCGAGUGUAGAGGUGAAAUUCGUAGAUAUUCGGAGGAACACCAGUGGCGAAGGCGGCUCACUGGCUCGAUACUGACGCUGAGGUGCGAAAGCAUGGGGAGCAAACAGGAUUAGAUACCCUUGUAGUCC
rnacentral:rRNA from 1 species